rnacentral:rRNA from 1 species
AACGUAGGAGGCAAGCGUUAUCCGGAGUUACUGGGCGUAAAGAGUGCGUAGGCGGCAUCGUAAGUGGGACGUGAAAGCCCCUGGCUAAACUAGGGGAGGACGACUCAGACUGCGAAGCUAGAAUACAGUAGAGGACUGCGGAAUUCGGGGUGUAGCGGUGAAAUGUGUAGAGAUCCCGAGGAACACCAGAGGUGGAGACGGCGGUCUGGGCUGUGAUUGACGCUGAGGCACGAAAGCUUGGGGAGCGAACGGG